rnacentral:rRNA from 1 species
GAUGAACGCUGGCGGCAGGCUUAACACAUGCAAGUCGAGCGGGCGUAGCAAUACGUCAGCGGCAGACGGGUGAGUAACGCGUGGGAACAUACCUUUUGGUUCGGAACAACACAGGGAAACUUGUGCUAAUACCGGAUAAGCCCUUACGGGGAAAGAUUUAUCGCCGAAAGAUUGGCCCGCGUCUGAUUAGCUAGUUGGUGAGGUAAUGGCUCACCAAGGCGACGAUCAGUAGCNGGUCUGAGAGGAUGAUCAGCCACAUUGGGACUGAGACACGGCCCAAACUCCUACGGGAGGCAGCAGUGGGGAAUAUUGGACAAUGGGCGCAAGCCUGAUCCAGCCAUGCCGCGUGAGUGAUGAAGGCCCUAGGGUUGUAAAGCUCUUUUGUGCGGGAAGAU